UGUGACUCUGUGGUAGAGUGCUUGCCUAGCAUGUAUGAGGCCCUGGGUUUGAUCCCCAGCA
rnacentral:tRNA from 1 species